AAUUGCUAGGGGAGGCUAGGGAUAGCAAGCCAGUAGUUAAUAUUAGGCUCUUUUCGCCGAGGGAUCGGGUUAAGGGUAGGCUAAGAAAGUCGCAUAACAAUUAAUUAAUCAAACUAAUAAUUCAAGAGGAGUAGAUAAGAGAGAGAAGAUUAGAUGAAAUUGUAAACCCCUAACAACUCCAUUCAUCCAUUGUUUUCUUUUGUCAAUUGAAUCAAUCUUUUGCAUGUUAAUAUUUUUGUUCUCAAAUCAAAUUAU
rnacentral:lncRNA from 1 species